CGUCAAAUCAGCACGGCCCUUAUGUCCAGGGCUACACACGUGCUACAAUUGGCGGUACAGAGCGAAGCGAAGCCGCGAGGCCAGAGCGAAGCGCGAAAGCCGCCCGUAGUCCGGAUUGAAGUCUGAAACCCGACUUCAUGAAGUUGGAAUCGCUAGUAAUCGCGCAUCAGCAUGGCGCGGUGAAUACGUUCCCGGGCCUU
rnacentral:rRNA from 1 species